UACAGAGGGGGCAAGCGUUGUUCGGAAUUACUGGGCGUAAAGGGCGCGUAGGCGGCCUUCUAAGUCGAACGUGAAAUCCCCGGGCUCCGAACCCGGGAACUGCGUCCGAUACUGGAAGGCUUGAAUCCGGGAGAGGGAUGCGGAAUUCCGAGGUGAGCGGUCGAAAUGCGUGAGAUAUCUGGAGGAACACCGGUGGACGAAGGCGGCGA
rnacentral:rRNA from 1 species